rnacentral:rRNA from 1 species
GUGGGGAAUCUUCCGCAAUGGACGAAAGUCUGACGGAGCAACGCCGCGUGAACGAUGACGGCCUUCGGGUUGUAAAGUUCUGUUAUACGGGACGAAUGGUACGACGGUCAAUACCCGUCGUAAGUGACGGUACCGUAAGAGAAAGCCACGGCUAACUACGUGCCAGCAGCCGCGGUAAUACGUAGGUGGCAAGCGUUGUCCGGAAUUAUUGGGCGUAAAGGGCGCGCAGGCGGCGUCGUAAGUCGGUCUUAAAAGUGCGGGGCUUAACCCCGUGAGGGGACCGAAACUGCGAUGCUAGAGUAUCGGAGAGGAAAGCGGAAUUCCUAGUGUAGCGGUGAAAUGCGUAGAUAUUAGGAGGAACACCAGUGGCGAAAGCGGCUUUCUGGACGACAACUGACGCUGAGGCGCGAAAGCGUGGGGAUCAAACAGGAUUAGAAACCCUGGUAGUCC